UACGUAGGGUGCGAGCGUUAAUCGGAAUUACUGGGCGUAAAGCGUGCGCAGGCGGUCUGUUAAGACCGAUGUGAAAUCCCCGGGCUUAACCUGGGAACUGCAUUGGUGACUGGCAGGCUUUGAGUGUGGCAGAGGGAGGUAGAAUUCCACGUGUAGCAGUGAAAUGCGUAGAUAUCUGGAGGAAUACCGGUGGCGAAGGCGGCAUCCUGGACCGGCAUUGACGCUGAGUGAGCGAAAGCCAGGGGAGCAAACGGG
rnacentral:rRNA from 1 species